rnacentral:rRNA from 1 species
UACGGGGGAGCAAGCGUUGUUCGGAUUUACUGGGCGUAAAGAGCGCGCAGGCGGUCGAUCAAGUCGAGUGUGAAAGCCCCCGGCUCAACUGGGGAGGUCAUCGAUACUGAUCGACUCGAAGGCAGGAGAGGUAGUGGAAUUCCUGGUGUAGCGGUGAAAUGCGUAGAGUAAUCUGGAGGAACACCGGUGGCGAAGGCGGCAUCCUGGACCA